rnacentral:rRNA from 1 species
GGAAUAUUAGUCAAUGGCCUAACGGCUGAACUGGCAACUUGGAGAAGUGGCAAGUCUUCCAGUAUGGGGAGCAAAACAGCUAUGGGUCAAGUCCGAUAUCUUUAGGAGAAGUCUUAUUGUGAGGGCGAGUUAUAUAACACCAUAGGACUGGCCGUCCCAUAUGAAAAGAUUAUAUUAGAAUUGAAUGAAGCUUUGUUUAUAUAUUGAUAAUGACAGUAUAUAUAUCGUGUCUUGACUAAUUGCGUGCCAGCAGUCGCGGUAAUACGUAAGAGACUAGUGUUAUUCAUCUUAAUUAGGUUUAAAGGGUACCCAGACGGUCAAUAUAGCUUAUAAAAUGUUAGUACUUGACUAGAGUUUUAUGUAAGAGGGCAGUACUUGAGGAGGAGAGAUGAAAUUUCGUGAUACCAAAGGGACUCUGUAAAGGCGAAGGCAGCCCUCUAUGUAAAAACUGACGUUGAAGGACGAAGGCACAGAGAACAAACAGGAUUAGAUACCCAAGUAGUCUUUGCAGUAAAUGAUGAAUGCCAUAGGUUAGAUUGAUCAAUUAUAGUCUAGGGUUAGUCUAGCAAACUAAUGCCCUAUGAUAUAAUUCAAAAUAUCUGGUCUAUAAAUGAAAGUGUAAGCAUUUCACCUCAAGAGUAAUGUGGCAACGCAGGAACUGAAAUCACUAGACCGUUUCUGACACCAGUAGUGAAGUAUGUUAUUUAAUUC